GUUGUAUGGUUAAGUGACUAAGCGUACACGGUGGAUGCCUUGGCAGUCAGAGGCGAUGAAAGACGUAGUAACUUGCGAUAAGCCCAGAUUAGGUAGUAACAACCAUUUGAGUCUGGGAUUUCUGAAUGGGGAAACCCACGUGCAUAAGCACGUAUCCUUACCUGAAUACAUAGGGUAAGGAGGCGAACCGGGGGAACUGAAACAUCUAAGUACCCCGAGGAAAAGAAAUCAACCGAGAUUCCGAAAGUAGCGGCGAGCGAAAUUGGACUAGCCCUUAAGCUUUACACGCGUUAGACGAACGGUCUGGAAAGUCCGACGAUACAGGGUGAUAGUCCCGUAGUUGACGACGUGUGUUCAGUGAAAUCGAGUAGGGCGGGACACGUGAUAUCCUGUCUGAAUAUGGGGGGACCAUCCUCCAAGGCUAAAUACUACUGACUGACCGAUAGUGAACCAGUACCGUGAGGGAAAGGCGAAAAGAACCCCUGUGAGGGGAGUGAAAUAGAACCUGAAACCGUGUACGUACAAGCAGUAGGAGCAGGCUUUGUCCUGUGACUGCGUACCUUUUGUAUAAUGGGUCAGCGACUUAUAUUCAGUGGCAAGGUUAACCAUCUAGGGGAGCCGUAGGGAAACCGAGUCUUAACUGGGCGUUCAGUCUCUGGAUAUAGACCCGAAACCAGGUGAUCUAGCCAUGGGCAGGUUGAAGGUUGAGUAACAUCAACUGGAGGACCGAACCGACUAAUGUUGAAAAAUUAGCGGAUGACUUGUGGCUAGGGGUGAAAGGCCAAUCAAACCUGGAGAUAGCUGGUUCUCCCCGAAAGCUAUUUAGGUAGCGCCUCGGACGAAUACUACUGGGGGUAGAGCACUGUUAAGGCUAGGGGGUCAUCCCGACUUACCAACCCUUUGCAAACUCCGAAUACCAGUAAGUACUAUCCGGGAGACACACGGCGGGUGCUAACGUCCGUCGUGGAGAGGGAAACAACCCAGACCGCCAGCUAAGGUCCCAAAUUACUACUAAGUGGGAAACGAUGUGGGAAGGCUCAGACAGCCAGGAUGUUGGCUUAGAAGCAGCCAUCAUUUAAAGAAAGCGUAAUAGCUCACUGGUCGAGUCGGCCUGCGCGGAAGAUGUAACGGGGCUAAGUAGUAAACCGAAGCUGCGGCAAUAUACUUUUGUAUAUUGGGUAGGGGAGCGUUCUGUAAGCGGUUGAAGGUGUGUGGUAACGCAUGCUGGACGUAUCAGAAGUGCGAAUGCUGACAUGAGUAACGAUAAAGGGGGUGAAAAACCUCCUCGCCGGAAGACCAAGGGUUCCUGUCCAACGUUAAUCGGGGCAGGGUAAGUCGACCCCUAAGGCGAGGCCGAAAGGCGUAGUCGAUGGGAAACGGGUUAAUAUUCCCGUACUUCUUACAAUUGCGAUGGGGGGACGGAGAAGGCUAGGUGGGCCUGGCGACGGUUGUCCAGGUUCAAGUGCGUAGGCUUAAGAGUUAGGUAAAUCCGGCUCUUUCUAAGGCUGAGACACGACGUCGAGCACCUACGGGUGUGAAGUCAUUGAUGCCAUGCUUCCAGGAAAAGCCUCUAAGCUUCAGAUUGUAAGGAAUCGUACCCCAAACCGACACAGGUGGUCGGGUAGAGAAUACCAAGGCGCUUGAGAGAACUCGGGUGAAGGAACUAGGCAAAAUGGUACCGUAACUUCGGGAGAAGGUACGCUCUUGAUGGUGAAGUCCCUUGCGGAUGGAGCUAUUGAGAGUCGCAGAUACCAGGUGGCUGCAACUGUUUAUUAAAAACACAGCACUGUGCAAAAUCGUAAGAUGACGUAUACGGUGUGACGCCUGCCCGGUGCCGGAAGGUUAAUUGAUGGGGUUAGACUUCGGUCGAAGCUCUUGAUCGAAGCCCCGGUAAACGGCGGCCGUAACUAUAACGGUCCUAAGGUAGCGAAAUUCCUUGUCGGGUAAGUUCCGACCUGCACGAAUGGCGUAAUGAUGGCCACGCUGUCUCCACCCGAGACUCAGUGAAAUUGAAAUCGCUGUGAAGAUGCAGUGUACCCGCGGCUAGACGGAAAGACCCCGUGAACCUUUACUACAGCUUGGCACUGAACAUUGACCCUACAUGUGUAGGAUAGGUGGGAGGCUUUGAAGCACGUACGCCAGUAUGUGUGGAGCCGUCCUUGAAAUACCACCCUUGUAGUGUUGAUGUUCUAACGUCGACCCCUUAUCGGGGUUGCGGACAGUGCCUGGUGGGUAGUUUGACUGGGGCGGUCUCCUCCCAAAGAGUAACGGAGGAGCACGAAGGUGGGCUAAUCACGGUUGGACAUCGUGAGGUUAGUGCAAUGGCAUAAGCCCGCUUGACUGCGAGAAUGACAAUUCGAGCAGGUGCGAAAGCAGGUCAUAGUGAUCCGGUGGUUCUGAAUGGAAGGGCCAUCGCUCAACGGAUAAAAGGUACUCCGGGGAUAACAGGCUGAUACCGCCCAAGAGUUCAUAUCGACGGCGGUGUUUGGCACCUCGAUGUCGGCUCAUCACAUCCUGGGGCUGAAGUCGGUCCCAAGGGUAUGGCUGUUCGCCAUUUAAAGUGGUACGCGAGCUGGGUUUAGAACGUCGUGAGACAGUUCGGUCCCUAUCUGCCGUGGGCGUUGGAAGAUUGAAGGGGGCUGCUCCUAGUACGAGAGGACCGGAGUGGACGAACCUCUGGUGUUCGGGUUGUGUCGCCAGACGCAUUGCCCGGUAGCUAAGUUCGGAAUCGAUAACCGCUGAAAGCAUCUAAGCGGGAAGCGAGCCCUGAGAUGAGUCUUCCCUGAUACUUUAAGUAUCCUAAAGGGUUGUCGGAGACUACGACGUUGAUAGGUCAGGUGUGUAAGUGCUGUGAGGCAUUGAGCUAACUGAUACUAAUUGCCCGUGAGGCUUAACCAUACAACACCCAAGGGGUUU
rnacentral:rRNA from 1 species